GCCCUGCUGAUACAGCGCCGCGUUAAGUAUAGAGACACGCUGACAUUGCGCCGCAAAUGCGGCGCAAAGAGCUUCACAGUGUGGCUACGGCCUUAGAAUUUCGUUCAUUUAUAGGACCAAGAAGAUUACUGAACUAUCGAGAGGAAUUGAUCACUGCUCUGUUUCCUUUACAGAUAUAGACAGCUUCACAAUCACUGUCGAUCCGAACAGUUGCACAUCCGAACGAUGCGAUGGGUCGCACGCCACACUCAACACGGGACUGGGCGAGUACGACCAGAGCGGCGCUUGGCUGCCAAUGAAGUAGCCAUGCAGAGGAAGCAGCGCUUGAGUGUUAGUUACAUCCUCUGGGUGCGGACGGUGAUGUGAAAAAUAGAAUGAAAUGUCAAGAAUAAAAUUUAA